GGCCUCCUGGUGCUUAUCACCGGCUGUGUGCUUAUAUUGACUGUGUAGAAAGAGUAUACAGAGUAAACCUACCCUACAUACGCCUCAGCCCAGGCCCUGUACCCGGUCUAUAUUGUGACUGGUGGCACAUAG
rnacentral:snoRNA from 1 species